UGGGGAAUAUUGCACAAUGGGGGAAACCCUGAUGCAGCGACGCCGCGUGAGUGAAGAAGUAUUUCGGUAUGUAAAGCUCUAUCAGCAGGAAAGAAAAUGACGGUACCUGACUAAGAAGCCCCGGNUAACUACGUGCC
rnacentral:rRNA from 1 species